UACGUAGGGCGCAAGCGUUGUCCGGAAUUAUUGGGCGUAAAGAGCUCGUAGGCGGCUUGUUGCGUCGGUUGUGAAAGCCCGGGGCUUAACCCCGGGUCUGCAGUCGAUACGGGCAGGCUAGAGUGUGGUAGGGGAGAUCGGAAUUCCUGGUGUAGCGGUGAAAUGCGCAGAUAUCAGGAGGAACACCGGUGGCGAAGGCGGGUCUCUGGGCCGAUACUGACGCUGAGGAGCGAAAGCGUGGGGAGCGAACAGG
rnacentral:rRNA from 1 species